UGAUACCGAAUGGUAGCAGUGGUAGGGGAGCGUUCUAAGGACAGUGAAGUCAGACCGGAAGGACUGGUGGAGUGCUUAGAAGUGAGAAUGCCGGUAUGAGUAGCGAAAGACGGGUGAGAAUCCCGUCCACCGAAUGCCUAAGGUUUCCUGAGGAAGGCUCGUCCGCUCAGGGUUAGUCAGGACCUAAGCCGAGGCCGACAGGCGUAGGCGAUGGACAACAGGUUGAUAUUCCUGUACCACCUCUUUAUCGUUUGAGCAAUGGAGGGACGCAGAAGGAUAGAAGAAGCGUGCGAUUGGUUGUGCACGUCCAAGCAGUUAGGCUGAUAAGUAGGCAAAUCCGCUUAUCGUAAAGGCUGAGCUGUGAUGGGGAAGCUCCUUAUGGAGCGAAGUCUUUGAUUCCCCGCUGCCAAGAAAAGCUUCUAGCGAGAUAAAAGGUGCCUGUACCGCAAACCGACACAGGUAGGCGAGGAGAGAAUCCUAAGGUGUGCGAGAGAACUCUGGUUAAGGAACUCGGCAAAAUGACCCCGUAACUUCGGGAGAAGGGGUGCUUUCUUAACGGAAAGCCGCAGUGAAUAGGCCCAAGCGACUGUUUAGCAAAAACACAGCUCUCUGCGAAGCCGUAAGGCGAAGUAUAGGGGGUGACACCUGCCCGGUGCUGGAAGGUUAAGGAGAGGGGUUAGCGUAAGCGAAGCUCUGAACUGAAGCCCCAGUAAACGGCGGCCGUAACUAUAACGGUCCUAAGGUAGCGAAAUUCCUUGUCGGG
rnacentral:rRNA from 1 species